GUAAAUAUGAACAAUGCUAAGUC
rnacentral:piRNA from 1 species